rnacentral:rRNA from 1 species
CCUACGGGAGGCAGCAGUGGGGAAUCUUGCACAAUGGGGGAAACCCUGAUGCAGCGACGCCGCGUGAGUGAAGAAGUAAUUCGUUAUGUAAAGCUCUAUCAGCAGGGAAGAAAAUGACGGUACCUGAGUAAGAAGCCCCGGCUAACUACGUGCCAGCAGCCGCGGUCAUACGUCGGGGGCAAGCGUUAUCCGGAUUUACUGGGUGUAAAGGGAGCGUAGACGGCAGUGCAAGUCUGGAGUGAAAGGCGGGGGCUCAACCCCCGGACUGCUCUGGAAACUGUACGGCUGGAGUGCAGGAGAGGUAAGUGGAAUUCCUAGUGUAGCGGUGAAAUGCGUAGAUAUUAGGAGGAACACCAGUGGCGAAGGCGGCUUACUGGACUGUAACUGACGUUGAGGCUCGAAAGCGUGGGGAGCAAACAGGAUUAGAUACCCGAGUAGUC